rnacentral:rRNA from 1 species
UCAAGAAACUUCCACAAUGGGCGAAAGCCUGAUGGAGCGACGUCGCGUGAUGGACGAAGUGCUUCGGCACGUAAACAUCUUUUAUGUGGGAUGAAAUUAUUGACAGUACCACAUGAAUAAGGGGCUCCUAACUCUGUGCCAGCAGGGGCGGUAAUACAGAGGCCCCAAGCGUUAUCCGGAAUCACUGGGCGUAAAGGGUGUCGAGGCGGUUGUAUUAGUCGUUCGUAAAAUCUACGAGCUUAACUUGUAGGCGGCGAACGAAACGGUACGACUUGAGGUUUGGAGAGGUGCGUGGAACUCACGGUGUAGGGGUGAAAUCCGUUGAUAUCGUGGGGAACACCAAAGGCGAAGGCAGCGCACUGGCCAAAAUCUAGACGCUCACACACGAAAGCUAGGGUAGCGAAGAGGAUUAGAUACCCCCGUAGUCCCUGAGCGGGCUGGCAAGGCGCAU